CGCACGCUAAAUCUACUGUAGAACUUCAACAGCCACUUAAAUUCAAACGUCUCUGUAAAUAGUUUCAAACAUCCUGUUAUUUGACCCACAACAUAAUCUUCAUCUUAUCAUCUUCUCUAACUGUCCAUAAGUCCAUUCAUCUCAUCCAGACAUACUAUUUCAUUGCACUCACAAGAUUUUCAGAAGAAAAAAUCAAGUGUAGGAUAUACACAACCACGAAAAAAACAAUAUUGAAGGAAUCUAUGCACGUGGCAGGAAUCUAUGCACGUUAUGACUAGAGAACAUGGAAUUUCUGUGUUAUUCUUAUUGUUUAAAUCACUGGUAUUCUCUUUAUUUUCCUAUUGUAAUAGGAUGCGGUCCGGCCCUUUUUUGGAUCCCGCACAUAGCGGGAGCUUAGCAUACUGGGCUGUUUUUUUUUUUUUUUCCACUUAAAUUGUAUUCAUUCUUAUCAUUUUCUUAAUACAAUUAACAUUAUCCUAACAAUCCAAUGAGUAUGUUUUCAGUUACUAAUCUAUUCUUUAAACCUUAUUCAUUCUCUCUCAUUUUUCAUGCGUAGUUGACCUUCCAGAUAGUGAAAGUGGAAGUUUUCCUUAUCAAAUUUUCAAACUGAAGGCCGAGAUCACCUUGUGGUUUUGAGGAUGAAGUACUUAAAAGGAGUUUUCCUGAAUUUCGCGAUGAUUCAACGGCAGGAGUAGGAUAUUGUUCAACGACUGAAGAAACAAGGCAACUCUUGAGGUUCUUGACGUAAUGUUAUAAUCUCAAAAAGUCCAUAAUACAACUCCAGCCUCUGUUUUUCUUUUUCUUUUUAAUCUUUAUGUAGAAAAUAAAAAUUAAGAUGAAACUUAUCUUUAAGA